GAUCAUGGCUCAGGAUGAACGCUAGCGGCAGGCUUAACACAUGCAAGUCGGGGGGCAGCAUAAUGGUAGCAAUACUAUUGAUGGCGACCGGCGGACGGGUGCUUAACGCGUAUUCAACCUACCCUUUACAGGGGGAUAACACUGAGAAAUCGGUACUAAUACCCCAUAAUAUUCUGGGAGGCAUCUUUCGGGGUUGAAAGCUUUGGUGGUAAAGGAUGGGCAUGCGUUGUAUUAGCUAGUUGGUAAGGUAACGG
rnacentral:rRNA from 1 species